CGAGUGGCGAACGGCUGAGUAACACGUGGAGAACCUGCCCCCUCCCCCCGGGACUAGCCGCCCGAAAGGACGGGUAAUACCGGAUACCCCCGGGCGCCGCAUGGCGCCCGGGCUAAAGCCCCGACGGGAGGGGAUGGCUCCGCGGCCCAUCAGGUAGACGGCGGGGUGACGGCCCACCGUGCCGACAACGGGUAGCCGGGUUGAGAGACCGACCGGCCAGAUUGGGACUGAGACACGGCCCAGACUCCUACGGGAGGCAGCAUG
rnacentral:rRNA from 1 species